CGGCUUAUGAGUAAGGCCUUUCCGGUUCUUGCAGCGUUUCCUUCCGUAUGGUUGGUAAAGCUGCGAGGGUUCGCCGGAAAGGGUUCAUAAGCCU
rnacentral:sRNA from 12 species